UUUGAUCCUGGCUCAGAUUGAACGCUGGCGGCAGGCCUAACACAUGCAAGUCGAGCGGUAGAGAGAAGCUUGCUUCUCUUGAGAGCGGCGGACGGGUGAGUAAUGCCUAGGAAUCUGCCUGGUAGUGGGGGAUAACGUUCGGAAACGGACGCUAAUACCGCAUACGUCCUACGGGAGAAAGCAGGGGACCUUCGGGCCUUGCGCUAUCAGAUGAGCCUAGGUCGGAUUAGCUAGUUGGUGAGGUAAUGGCUCACCAAGGCUACGAUCCGUAACUGGUCUGAGAGGAUGAUCAGUCACACUGGAACUGAGACACGGUCCAGACUCCUACGGGAGGCAGCAGUGGGGAAUAUUGGACAAUGGGCGAAAGCCUGAUCCAGCCAUGCCGCGUGUGUGAAGAAGGUCUUCGGAUUGUAAAGCACUUUAAGUUGGGAGGAAGGGUUGUAGAUUAAUACUCUGCAAUUUUGACGUUACCGACAGAAUAAGCACCUGCUAACUCUGUGCCAGCAGCCGCGGUAAUACAGAGGGUGCUCGCUUUAAUCGGAAUUACUGGGAGUAUAGCGCGCGUAGGUGGUGUGUAAACCAGGGUGUAAACCCCCGGGGGCAGCCCCUGGGAAUUUUUUUUAAAUUUGAAUGUUUGGGGGUGGGACACCCGGGGGGGAAAUUUUCAGGGGUUAUGUGAACCACUAGAUUUCAGGGCCCCCACCGGUGAGAUGACAUAUUUCAGGUGGUGUACAGCGGGUGAUCUACUCGUGUUUGCUGCAGAAGUUUUAACACCUCGGUGUGAGUAUCCACCCAGGAGACGAUCUUCACCAGCUGGUCGUCCCUUCAUGAUCUUCACACUGUCGCACGCUAACACAUUAAAUUCCACCGCCCUGCGACUUACGUCAGCAGUUUAAUUCUAGAUUGCAUUGCAGGGGCACGCCCGAGCUUUCGCAUCUGUGUUUAAUACGAUGCUGAACGCGAUUACCUUACAAGACUGAAAUCCAUGACCUUUCUAGAGGUACACUCGCUGCUUCAGACAUGAACCGUGUCUUAUUGCUGCUCCGCUAUGUCAGAAUGUAGUCUAAUCUGUCACGACGAUCUGUCUCAAUAACACUACAUGGUCGCGACCGUUUAGGUACGUUGCCGUUCUACUACCCCAUG
rnacentral:rRNA from 1 species